GAUGAACGCUGGCGGCGUGCCUAAUACAUGCAAGUCGAGCGAACAGAUGAGGAGCUUGCUCCUCUGACGUUAGCGGCGGACGGGUGAGUAACACGUGGAUAACCUACCUAUAAGACUGGGAUAACUUCGGGAAACCGGAGCUAAUACCGGAUAAUAUAUUGAACCGCAUGGUUCAAUAGUGAAAGACGGUUUUGCUGUCACUUAUAGAUGGAUCCGCGCCGCAUUAGCUAGUUGGUAAGGUAACGGCUUACCAAGGCAACGAUGCGUAGCCGACCUGAGAGGGUGAUCGGCCACACUGGAACUGAGACACGGUCCAGACUCCUACGGGAGGCAGCCGUAGGGAAUAUUCCGCAAUGGGCGAAAGCCUGACGGAGCAACGCCGCGUGAGUGAUGAAGGUCUUCGGAUCGUAAAACUCUGUUAUUAGGGAAGAACAAAUGUGUAAGUAACUAUGCACGUCUUGACGGUACCUAAUCAGAAAGCCACGGCUAACUACGUG
rnacentral:rRNA from 1 species